AGAGUUUGAUCCUGGCUCAGGAUGAACGCUAGCGGCAGGCUUAACACAUGCAAGUCGAGGGGCAGCGGGCCGUAGCAAUACGGUGCCGGCGACCGGCGGACGGGUGCGUAACGCGUAUGCAACCUUCCCUGCACAGGGGUAUAGCCCGGCGAAAGCCGGAAUAAUCCCCCAUAGUUUCAACGGACCGCAUGGUUUGUUGGAUAAACGGGCGACCGGGUGCAGGAUGGGCAUGCGUGACAUUAGGCAGUUGGCGGGGUAACGGCCCACCAAACCUACGAUGUCUAGGGGUCCUGAGAGGGAGGUCCCCCACACUGGAACUGGGACACGGUCCAGACUCCUACGGGAGGCAGCAGUGAGGAAUAUUGGUCAAUGGAGGAAACUCUGAACCAGCCAUGCCGCGUGCCAGGAAGGAGGCCCUACGGGUCGAGAACUGCUUUUGUUCGGGACGAGCAUGAAUACGUGUAUUCAAGUGACGGUACCGGAAGAAUAAGCACCGGCUAACUCCGUGCCAGCAGCAGC
rnacentral:rRNA from 1 species